rnacentral:rRNA from 1 species
ACUAUCGUUAACUGAAUACAUAGGUUAACGAGGCGAACCGGGGGAACUGAAACAUCUAAGUACCCCGAGGAAAAGAAAUCAACCGAGAUUCCCCCAGUAGCGGCGAGCGAACGGGGAGCAGCCCAGAGUCUGAAUCAGCUUGUGUGUUAGUGGAACGGUCUGGAAAGUCCGACGGUACAGGGUGAUAGUCCCGUACACCAAAAUGCACAGGCUGUGAACUCGAAGAGUAGGGCGGGACACGUGGUAUCCUGUCUGAAUAUGGGGGGACCAUCCUCCAAGGCUAAAUACUCCUGACUGACCGAUAGUGAACCAGUACCGUGAGGGAAAGGCGAAAAGAACCCCGGCGAGGGGAGUGAAAAAGAACCUGAAACCGUGUACGUACAAGCAGUGGGAGCACCUUCGGGUGUGACUGCGUACCUUUUGUAUAAUGGGUCAGCGACUUAUAUUCUGUAGCAAGGUUAACCGUAUAGGGGAGCCGCAGGGAAACCGAGUCUUAACUGGGCGUUAAGUUGCAGGGUAUAGACCCGAAACCCGGUGAUCUAGCCAUGGGCAGGUUGAAGGUUGGGUAACACUAACUGGAGGACCGAACCGACUAAUGUUGAAAAAUUAGCGGAUGACUUGUGGCUGGGGGUGAAAGGCCAAUCAAACCGGGAGAUAGCUGGUUCUCCCCGAAAGCUAUUUAGGUAGCGCCUCGUGAACUCAUCUUCGGGGGUAGAGCACUGUUUCGGCUAGGGGGUCAUCCCGACUUACCAACCCGAUGCAAACUACGAAUACCGAAGAAUGUUAUCACGGGAGACACACGGCGGGUGCUAACGUCCGUCGUGAAGAGGGAAACAACCCAGACCGCCAGCUAAGGUCCCAAAGUCAUGGUUAAGUGGGAAACGAUGUGGGAAGGCACAGACAGCCAGGAUGUUGGCUUAGAAGCAGCCAUCAUUUAAAGAAAGCGUAAUAGCUCACUGGUCGAGUCGGCCUGCGCGGAAGAUGUAACGGGGCUAAACCAUGCACCGAAGCUGCGGCAGCGACACUAUGUGUUGUUGGGUAGGGGAGCGUUCUGUAAGCCUGCGAAGGUGACCUGUGAGGGUUGCUGGAGGUAUCAGAAGUGCGAAUGCUGACAUAAGUAACGAUAAAGCGGGUGAAAAGCCCGCUCGCCGGAAGACCAAGGGUUCCUGUCCAACGUUAAUCGGGGCAGGGUGAGUCGACCCCUAAGGCGAGGCCGAAAGGCGUAGUCGAUGGGAAACAGGUUAAUAUUCCUGUACUUGGUGUUACUGCGAAGGGGGGACGGAGAAGGCUAUGUUAGCCGGGCGACGGUUGUCCCGGUUUAAGCAUGUAGGCUGGUUGUCCAGGCAAAUCCGGAUAAUCAAGGCUGAGGUGUGAUGACGAGGUACUACGGUGCUGAAGUAACAAAUGCCCUGCUUCCAGGAAAAGCCUCUAAGCAUCAGGUAACAUUAAAUCGUACCCCAAACCGACACAGGUGGUCAGGUAGAGAAUACCAAGGCGCUUGAGAGAACUCGGGUGAAGGAACUAGGCAAAAUGGUGCCGUAACUUCGGGAGAAGGCACGCUGGUGUGUAGGUGAAGUCCCUGCGGAUGGAGCUGAGACCAGUCGAAGAUACCAGCUGGCUGCAACUGUUUAUUAAAAACACAGCACUGUGCAAACACGAAAGUGGACGUAUACGGUGUGACGCCUGCCCGGUGCCGGAAGGUUAAUUGAUGGGGUUAUCCGUAAGGAGAAGCUCUUGAUCGAAGCCCCGGUAAACGGCGGCCGUAACUAUAACGGUCCUAAGGUAGCGAAAUUCCUUGUCGGGUAAGUUCCGACCUGCACGAAUGGCGUAAUGAUGGCCAGGCUGUCUCCACCCGAGACUCAGUGAAAUUGAACUCGCUGUGAAGAUGCAGUGUACCCGCGGCAAGACGGAAAGACCCCGUGAACCUUUACUAUAGCUUGACACUGAACAUUGAGCCUUGAUGUGUAGGAUAGGUGGGAGGCUUUGAAGCGUGGACGCCAGUCUGCGUGGAGCCAACCUUGAAAUACCACCCUUUAAUGUUUGAUGUUCUAACGUUGGCCCCUGACCGGGGUUGCGGACAGUGUCUGGUGGGUAGUUUGACUGGGGCGGUCUCCUCCCAAAGCGUAACGGAGGAGCACGAAGGUUAGCUAAUCCUGGUCGGACAUCAGGAGGUUAGUGCAAUGGCAUAAGCUAGCUUGACUGCGAGCGUGACGGCGCGAGCAGGUGCGAAAGCAGGUCAUAGUGAUCCGGUGGUUCUGAAUGGAAGGGCCAUCGCUCAACGGAUAAAAGGUACUCCGGGGAUAACAGGCUGAUACCGCCCAAGAGUUCAUAUCGACGGCGGUGUUUGGCACCUCGAUGUCGGCUCAUCACAUCCUGGGGCUGAAGUAGGUCCCAAGGGUAUGGCUGUUCGCCAUUUAAAGUGGUACGCGAGCUGGGUUUAGAACGUCGUGAGACAGUUCGGUCCCUAUCUGCCGUGGGCGCUGGAGAAUUGAGGGGGGCUGCUCCUAGUACGAGAGGACCGGAGUGGACGCAUCACUGGUGUUCGGGUUGUCAUGCCAAUGGCACUGCCCGGUAGCUAAAUGCGGAAGAGAUAAGUGCUGAAAGCAUCUAAGCACGAAACUUGCCCCGAGAUGAGUUCU